rnacentral:rRNA from 1 species
UGAACGCUAGCGGCAGGCUUAACACAUGCAAGUCGAACGGUAACAGAAAAAGCUUGCUUUUUGCUGACGAGUGGCGAACGGGUGCGUAACGCGUAUGCAACCUACCUUUAACAGAGGGAUAGCCCAGAGAAAUUUGGAUUAACACCUCAUAACAUCACGAAUUCGCAUGUUUUUGUGAUUAAAACUCCGGUGGUUAAAGAUGGGCAUGCGUGACAUUAGCUAGAUGGUAAGGUAACGGCUUACCAUGGCAACGAUGUUAGGGGGUCUUAAAGGAUGAUCCCCCACACUGGUACUGAACACGGACCAGACUCCUACGGGAGGUAGCAGUGAGGAAGAUUGGUCAAUGGACGCAAGUCUGAACCAGCCAUGCCGCGUGAAGGAUGACGGCCCUAUGGGUUGUAAACUUCUUUUAUAUGGGAAGAAACCCUCUUACGUGUAAGAGGCUGACGGUACCAUACGAAUAAGCACCGGCUAACUCC